UACGUACAAAAUUUUCCGGCUAAUCUAAAACACUUCAUAAGAUAGAGAGCUUCUGGAAAUUCGGACACAGAGAGUGCAUAAAAUACAAGAUAAGUCUCGUGUCUUUCAAAAUUAUUUUUUAUUCGCUAAAAACGUCCUGUGUACUCAUGCAAUCACAUGCAACCUCGAAACUUCACUUAUUUUUUAUCACUUUCCAAUUCAAUACACAGUUUCUGCAUUUUUGACUAUAUGUAAGAGAAAUUUCCAUUCAGCCAAAGGUGUACUUACAGAUUAUAGAUUCCUAUACGACUCUCAGUAAAAAUUUAUCCGCACUCCAGAUAGUUAAAACUUCUGUCGACCGUAUUGAUCCAUCUGCACUCUUCGUAUGACGUCAAUAUCUGUUCAGUGCUGCUGCGCAGGUUUCUUUGUGUUACGUCAAUUCGUUUGUGACCGUUGCGCGAGUAAUGGCGCUUUGCAAUGGUGAUUUGCAGGAAAACAGUGCAGGAUGCUGUGAUUCGUUUCUUGUGGUCGGAGGUUAUGUUUGAUGCCUAUAUUUAUCAAAGAUUUAAUGCACAUUAUGGAGAAAGUGUUUUGUCACGAAGUGUGUUUGAAUGGGCACAAAAGUUCAAAGAAGAUCGCACAAGUGUUAUGAAAAAACAGCUGGACGCCCGUCCACAUCCACGAUGACAACAUUGAACGUGCUCAUGAACUUAUGCUCUAUGGAAUAGACGAGUGACAGUGGAUAAUGUGGCAAAUCAUUUGCAAAUCAGCCACGGCUCUGCUUAUGCAAUAGUACACGACAGAUUUGGAUUUUAAAAAGUUUGUGCGAGAUGGAUGCCGAAAAAGCUGAUGAAAAGGUGAAGACGACGAUGCAUUCGUGGUUCGCAGCUCAGCCCAAAACAUUUUUUAAUGAGAAAAUAUAAAGGUCCUUCGGCAAAUGGACAAAGUGUAUACAGAAAUCGAGUGAUUAUGUCAAAAAAUGAUGUAUGUCUUUUUUGACAAUUGCUUAAAAUAAAUUCUACACCGACAGAGCGGGCUGUUAAUCUAGAGGCUGGAGUACAAAGAAGUGGCACAAUGAUGUGGGCUGAUGACAUUUAUAAUUAUCAAGGAAUCACCCCUACAUUCGCUCAGAAUUUUAAUGAAACUGUCCCUUGGGAAGGAAGAACUGAUACCUUGAUAUCACGGUUUGUACAUCCUAUAUAUACGACAAAUUUUAGAACAUUAUAUAACGAAGAACCAGAUCGUCGUGGCCAUGUGAUGUGAAUAAAAGGACUUGAAUUUGAUGAUAUUUUUAUAAUGUUAGAUAACAUAACUAAGUAUCUUCACAGUAAGAUAGGAUGACAUGGUUUACAUGAUCUUAAUGUUGUUCACUCGAGUGAUGAUAUUAUAAGGAAAAGUGUAAUAUCACAGGAUAUUUAUGUUUAGUAACCAGUAAUUCAGAGAUUGGUAUUCAUGGUUACUAUAACGAGGCUGUAGAAACGCACCCUUUCUUCUUUGCAAAUGGUCCUGUAUUUAUGUCUAAGCCGAAACUGGAACCUCUGAAUAAUUUAGAUUUAUUCUUGUUAUUUUCUAAAAUACUUAUCUACAGUAUACCAUAAGGAAUGAUACCGUAUCGCACCUAAUCAAGUGCCUUAAGAAACAUCAACAGGAUAUCACAGUAAUCCCUUAUCGACUGAUAUUUGUAGCCACUACAAUAUCUAUGACACUGGUAGUAAUUAUAAGAACAAUAAUGAUGUUCUAUAAGAGGAAAUGAUGAUUAGGAACAAAAACUUACAGGAGAUAUCAUGCGGUGGAUGGAUAAUAUGUAAAAAAUAUUAAGCAGUAUAUGAAUUUUCAUAUUGCGUAGAGAUAACAAAAUGAAUUUUAAAAAAUGUCGACAUGAUUGAACAAUAUUCCAGAUUUAUUCAUAAUUUCAUACUACGCGAAGAAUAGACUUUCAUAGGUAUAUAAAGGAAAUAUUAAGUAUAGGAAAACUCUUUUUCGUUGUAGGUGACAUAUGCUUCACGGUUGAACACAUGUAUUUUUGAACACAUAUAAAUGAAAAAGUACUCUUAUGGAG